GUGUCAGCAGCCGCGGUAAUACGGAGGAUGCGAGCGUUAUCCGGAUUUAUUGGGUUUAAAGGGUGCGUAGGCGGAUCAAUAAGUCAGUGGUGAAAACCUGCAGCUUAACUGUAGACUUGCCAUUGAUACUGUUAGUCUUGAGGGUGGUCAAGGUAGGCGGAAUGUGUAAUGUAGCGGUGAAAUGCUUAGAUAUUACACAGAACACCGAUUGCGAAGGCAGCUUGCUGGACCAUUACUGACGCUGAUGCACGAAAGCGUGGGGAGCGAACAGGAUUAGAUACCCUGGUAGUCCACGCCGUAAACGAUGAUCACUCGCUGUUGGCGAUAUACAGUCAGCGGCUAAGCAAAAGCAUUAAGUGAUCCACCUGGGGAGUACGGCCGCAAGGCUGAAACUCAAAGGAAUUGACGGGG
rnacentral:rRNA from 1 species